UCCUACGGGAGGCAGCAGUGGGGAAUAUUGCACAAUGGGCGAAAGCCUGAUGCAGCAACGCCGCGUGAGUGAUGAAGGUCUUCGGAUUGUAAAGCUCUGUCUUUUGGGACGAUAAUGACGGUACCAAAGGAGGAAGCCACGGCUAACUACGUGCCAGCAGCCGCGGUAAUA
rnacentral:rRNA from 1 species